rnacentral:rRNA from 1 species
AACGAACGCUGGCGGCAGGCCUAACACAUGCAAGUCGAACGAGAAGCCACCUUCGGGUGGUGGAUAGUGGCAGACGGGUGAGUAACGCGUGGGAACGUGCCUUUCGGUUCGGGAUAACCCAGGGAAACUUGGGCUAAUACCGGAUACGCCCGCCGGGGGAAAGAUUCAUUGCCGAAAGAUGGGCCCGCGUCGGAUUAGCUAGUUGGUGGGGUAAAAGCCUACCAAGGCGACGAGCCGUAGCUGGUCUGAGAGGAUGACCAGGCCAACACUGGGACUGAGACACGGCCCAGACUCCUACGGGAGGCAGCAGUGGGGAAUAUUGGACAAUGGGCGCAAGCCUGAUCCAGCCAUGCCGCGUGGGUGAAGAAGGCCCUAGGGUUGUAAACCCCUUUCAGCGGGGAAGAUAAUGACGGUACCCGCAGAAGAAGCCCCGGCUAACUCCGUGCCAGCCGCCGCAGUAAAAC